CUCUGCGGCUGUAUCUCUACUUAGAGUAAUAAAUAUUUGAGCACGCACGCACUCAUGCAUUCUGUCUAUGUUGUUUUAAAACCAGACAUAAAGAACAUCUUUUCAAAAUCAUACCUCUGCUAGGAAUUCCCAGGCCAAGGGAAAGAUAACUUCCCAAAAGACAGAACAAGAAAACAGUCGAGAAAUAAUCCAUCGUUGUCAUAAUACCAUAUACGUAUAAUGAGGCAAUCUUCUUUGUGGCUAUAUAGACGUCCUCAAUUCAAAGCGAUUGUCAAACAACUGAAUUUUUGAUCACCAACAAUAGUCGCGAAUAUAUUCAAGAUAAAUGAGCGCGAUAAUCCAAGUUUGUCUUUAGAAUUGUUUAGUGAUCGGAAGUUAACAUGUUGACAACACGCUGUGUACGGUUUCGCAGUACUCGUCUCGAAGGAAAUCGAAAACCAUGCAGCUUGUCGCUCAGAGACUAUACUCACACUGAAAGGCCAGGAAACAACUUAAGUUUAAAAAGACCACUAAGCAAUCCUAAUACUCAACGAAGCAUGACCUGUUUAAAUUUAUUUGACUGAAUAUCCAUCUCUUUGUCUUUGUGGUCAAACUGACUCGAUAACUUGCCUACGCGAAGCGGAAUGGAAAACCAGCAGGUUGUGGAACCACAAGAAGGCGAUCAGUCGAUCCUUUUGCCACAAUAUUUUAUGCUGUACUUCGAAUAAUGUGAUAAUUGCAAAAGUAAGCACUAAUUUUCCGCAUUACAUUACAAUAAAUUGGCUAUAACGACAGUGAAGUGCAGACACUCGGUGAAAUUAAAUGAAGUUGGGCAUGGGAAAAACAAGGGUUUUAUACUGUGAGUGAAAUCUAUACAGUAUGAUACUAUGUGCAUAAUUAUACUGUGGGUCCUUUGGAAACAUACAAGUGCACUUCAAGUGGUAUUCAAGGUAUGGCCUUUGUGUGGCUGUUUAAUACAUGAUUGUUUUAAUCAUGUUGAGGUAGUCGAGCAAUGGCCAUUUGCACUGAAUUGUGAAUUUAAAAAAAAAUCGAGAUGAAUAAAAUUAGAAUUGGAUUGUUGCGAACAGUAUUACAAGUUGAACAAUUACUAUCUUUUCACCAGUCGUGCUAGGCAAACAGCAUUUCACAUACAGUAUUACGACAGAAUGAACAAUGUGGAGGAAAAACGUGGCAAAGUUUAAUCGCUAGCUCUGGAUUUGUCGAUCGGAUGAAUUGUAAUGUACACAAAAAACCGAUAGUUCAUUUAUCAUUCGUUAUAAUCAAAUGAUUUAACUUGAAACGUUACGUAUUAUACAAACUCCCGUAGGCCUAUCAUUUGAAAAACUAUAGUGAUGUUGGAUUGAGGAACACAUUUUAAUGUAUUCGUGAUUAACUGCGGUGUCCAAGAGGUUAAUUCCGUCUUCUGCUUCAAUUGUAUGCAUAUAAAGCCAUUAUCUAUAUACUAAUUCAAAUCUUCCCACAAAUGACUCAUCUAACUUUUGAAUAAAGGCCAUAAAAGCCAGAUUAAUAACAAAUAUAUAAAUCCCUUUGUACAAAUAAUAGGCACAAACAAUAUUUUUAUCCUUAGGCUGAUAAUUUGAGGAUCACAAAAAUUGGCUAGUUGCGAAAUGUAACUUUCACAAGAUUAAGAGAACCGAUAUUAUUAACUUAGACGGCCUGAAUAUCACAGUAUUGUGAAGGCUCCAAUUUGACUACCAUUUCAGAAAAUGCAUGUGAAUUUUCAAAUGUGAUAAUAUAUUUCAUGAG
rnacentral:lncRNA from 1 species